AUUUCGUUGCCAACUACUCUAUUUAAUAGAGUAGACUCAUAAAAAUUUCAAGGCAUCCUCCAAUAUUCUGAAUAUCCUUAAAAAAUAAAAUAUCUUUAUAAGUCUGUUCGUAAAGCCACACAUAUAAUAGACGUGUAAGCAAAAAUAUUACUUAAAAAUUGAGAUUUGAUAGUAGUAGUAGAGAAGGCCACAUAGAAUCAUUGGUUAACUGGAUACACAAUCGCAUAGGAAAAAAGAUCACACCAAAAUGGUGAACAUACAAUAACAUCAAAAGGAAGUGCUCGUCGGACCAUCGACAGGAUCGAUUACAACCAUCAGAUCUCAAAUUUAAGCAAUGUUGUUUGUUCAAAUGAUUUCAAAUAAUUCAAAUUCAUGUCAUUGAUUUACUCUUAAACUAUAUAUAUUUAAAUUAUUUUUCUUCCGUAA